AAUGUGGGCUUUAUACUCUCAAAUUCAAAUCUAGCCACAAUCUGCUGGCUCUGCGGUCUUGUGCAAAUCGCUAAGCCUUAUUUUGUCCUCUUUAAACCCCUUUAACAGGGAAGUAAUGAGUAAAUGAGCAUACAGAUUCCAUAAAGGGGUUUAGAAGUAAGUAAGAUAAUGUGGAAGGAGCGUUUCCCCCACAAUAAGGUACCUACUUAUUCUUGCCAGGCUGCUUUACUCCUAAUGCUCCCUUUCCCUGACGAGCUCUCACUCCUCCUCUCCUUCCUCUUCCUAAACAAGUCUACUCUCCCUCAGUCUCACAUUAAAUUUUAUUUCCUCAAUGACUGUCCUCACACACUCCAGACUCAGUUAAGUCCUAUUGGUUUUCCUGCUCACAGCACCUCCAUCAUUUGCAAAUUGAAGUUACCUCUUAGAGCAAGUUUUUUGGUUUUGGUUUUUGUUUUUAAUUUUUUUGCCAUACCUGCGGCAUUCAGACGUUCCCAGGCCAGCAAACUGCACCCACUCCACAACAGUGACCUGAGCCACUGCAGUGGCAAUGCCGGAUCCUUAACCUGCUACACACAAGGGAACUCCCCAGCAAGUACUUGUUAAGUGGAUUUCUUUCCUUGUAAAUUAUAUGCUCCAAAAAGGCAAAGCCUCUGUCUGCUUUAACAUAGUGGUAUACACGGUGAAUUAAAUAGAGUGUGCUUAGUAAACAUGAGAUAAAAGAGUGAUUUAAUUCAUUAAUUAAUAGCACAGUGUAUAGAACAAAAUAAAAAGGAAAUAUUAGUAAUUUCGAAUUAUUAAGUAAUGUAGGUAUUUUGUGAGGUCUCAGGUGAGUCAUCUACUUUUAGGAGUAUGACUUCAAAGUGUCACACCAUUUCCAUUCCUAUUCCACACCAGCUUCACUGGUGGCCCAUAUAGCACAAAUAUCAGCCUUUCUCUUGAGCUACCUACACAAUGGAGCCAGUGCCUGGUUGAGACAUAGGACCAGUGGUUCCAGAGUAAAAGUCAUUCCCCUGAGCAUUGUAUCGGCUCAUUUUAUGCUGGAGUUGAGACUCGCAGUUCAAUCUGAUACACACAGUUUGGUCUGGGCCAAGAUACACAACCCAGAGCUAUUUAAAGGAGAGCCCCAAGCUCAUAUUCCUGUUCCAGUUACUCAGACUUCUGACUUGGGUCAAUUAAACCUGUAACAGAGGCUCAGUAGAACUCGGCAAAUGCAAGAUAAAAUAGCCUACAUUAAAGUAUAAGCUCAUCAGCAGGCAGCCACACAGCUCAAAGAGCAAGCUCACCGGGUUGGCAAGACAAAGAAAGAGAAGCAAGACACUGAGAGGUGGUGGCCAUGGUCUAGACACUCACCUUGCUCUCUUCUCCAACUGUUUUGGAGACUCCACAGAAACAUAAUAGAUCUUCCCAUGCCCAAAUUCGGUUUGGCUGUUGACACUGAUAAUGUCACAGACACACCAAGAGAGUAUGAAAAGUUUUAUUACUCUUAUGACAAGGAUUUCUAGAGAGAGCAAGGUGGUUCUCAAGAAGGUCCUAAAAUGGCUUGAGAGAAUAGGGAAGGAGAUUGGCUUGGGAGUUUUUUGAUGUUUAGGUGGUAGGGCCCAGCAAAUUUUUCCUGUGGGUGGUGUGAACUUCUUGUCGGCAUCAAAGGAGGGUCCACACAGACUUUCUCAUCAGCUUGACCAGAUGUGGGCAGAAGUGGUACAGCAAAGCGUGAAGUUUAAAAGCGCUCAGCAGUGAAGCAUAAAAAAAAUGAAGUCUUUUUUAUAGUUAGCCUCUGUAUCAGGAACAUUUUGUCUUUUAUACAAUAUGUCUAGUUUAUAAGGAUGGAAAUAUUCAUGCCUAUGUGUUGAUACAGCUAGGUAACAAUGGCACCAAUGUAAGGCACGUGUGAUCAGCAGCUGAUGGCAUUCGGUCUCAUCAGAGAAGGGGCCCUUACUGUGAACAUCUACAUCUACAAUCCAGACUAUCAAAUGAACAGCCACAAUUGCCUUCUACAUUUUGCAGCCGUAAAGAGGAUUGAUCAUCUUUAAUUUGCCAUUUUGUAGUCUUCCAAGUAGUAGAACAGAUGGCUAGGCCAUUGGCAACAGCUUAAGAGUUAGUAAAAAAUAUGUCUCUUAUAUCUGUGCAUGCUAUGUAUAUAAAAAUAUAAUCCAUUGGAAUACUGUCUAAGGCAAGGGUCACAGCGUCUAGUUCAACCCACUGUGUUGACCAGCCUUGACCAGGCUUUGGUCUUCAGAGUUGUCACUGGGGCAAGAUUGCUGCUCUUAUCCAAUGAACACUAUCAGCUUUACUGUUGAACAAUAUCAGUGGACAGUGCCCACACUUUUAGGAGAAAUUCUGUGAUUUAAGGUCCCUAUUGAGUCAGUGGCAUUUCUUUAGACAAUCAAGUGGGGGUAAAAUUUCCCUAAAGUUGCAGCAACACUUUUUCAUGCAAAGCUGAGCUGUCCUAUGGUCAUGCCAAUGGCACACGUUGUACCUGUUUAAUCAAGAAAGCCUAGCGAAUAUUUUCCAUUUUGUUAGUCAUUGAAUUCAAGCUGAUGCACCACCAAAUAAUGAUGUUAGUCUAGAGGUACAAGCCUCCAUGAAUCAUGGGUACAGUUUCUACAAAAGCUUAGUAGCACGUUAAAAUGUACCUUUUUUUAUAAAAGAGAGAUGUAAUUGGUACCUGCAUCUGGCAGGCACUAUUCUUCUGGGAAAUAAUUUGAGUACUCUGGCAACCAUUAGGUCUUUAACUAAAACUGUGAUAUUUAUCUUUCUUGUAGUUCAUUUUGUUUCUAUUUGACUACCUAGGAGGGGAGAGGGAGGAGGGUUAAGAGGGAGGGUAGAAGUGAUUGAUCUGUCUCUACCAUUUUUCCCCUGUGGCAAUCUUUGAAAGCAGAAUUUUCUGUAAAUUCUAUUGGACAGAGAUAGAAGCAUUUAACCCAUUAAUCCAGUGGUGUGUUUGGAUGUCAAAGCCACUGUGAUAGUAAAUUGCAUCAGCUGAAAAGGCUCAUUCACAAGGUUAUUUUAAUAUCUCUGCCCCACAGUGACUUUUUCCCACCUAGCAAUGUGGAUUGCAGGACAGAAGAGCACUGAGAUGUGGGGAUCUAGUUUUUGUAUAGCAGGCAGGAAGCAAGCCUUCUCCUUGUCCCAGUGAGAGAUACACCUUAUCCCUUAUGUUCUCUGAAAAGACAACCCUAAAAAUGACUCGGGGCUCUGUAUUUUUGGCACAAUAAGUGACAAAACAAAAGUGAAUGACCCAUGGAAGACCAUCUCCCCACAUGAUAGAAAAAAAAUAAUUGAUCCAAGUAGAAGCUGCUUCUCAUCAUGAUGGUGAUUUUGAACUACAGGUCCACCAGCCACAUUUUCACUAGCCUCCAAUUUUUCUGUCUCCACUGCCUGAUGCAUACACUAUUUUACUCAAGUUUUCAUUAGAGGAUAAAUAUCACCUUGUUUAUGGGAUAAUAUUAGAGACUGCUAUGUUUGAUUUUAGCAGACUCAUACAGAGGAAAUGCAUACCUACUUGAUACAGAGAGGAAUAGAAUACAUUAAAUAUUAAAAUUUGAGUAGACUCCCUUAGGAACAGUGGCUAAACUAAGAAAGCAGGCACAUGAUUUUGAGCAGACAUAUUUCUCCAGGCUUUUAUAAUAUAGCCAUAUCUUUUUAAAAAGAUGAAGCUGGCAUUAAUCUCAGUUAUGUCUGAUACCAAAUCUCUUUCCAUCCCAUCCAUGUUCCUUCCCAAAGAAGGGAAACCAAGCGAUAUAGUCAGGACCCACAAGUAAAAGUGUAAUAAGCCUCAAUCUCUUCUUCAAACAAAGACUAUCUAUAUUCAGUUCAAUUUAAGCCAAAUUGGAAAUGAAAAUAGCCACUUUAAAAUUUAGCAGAUUAAAAUAUCAUUAUGGAUUCUCUAUCCUACAUUGUAGCUAUGCCAAUACUUCAAAUAGAAAACUAACAAAAUCAGAAAAUGUUUUCUCGAACACAGCUGACUAUCUGUUUGAGAUAUUUCAGAUGCUUUGCUGGAAGUAGUAAGCUGUUAUUGUAUGCAUUCCAAAAACAUACACCAAGAAUACUAUUAGAUAAUAGCAAAAAUGUCUGUUAUAAAUAUAUGAUUAUGUACCAUAAUAUAAAAAUUACCUAAUAGUAAUGUAUAAUUGUAACAUACAAUAGAUAUAAUAUGUAAUUACAAUUAUAAAUAUAACAAAUAUAUAUUAUAAUGUAUAAACAAAUGUAUUUAUAUAUAUUCUCUUUAUAUAUAAAUAUGUGAACUAUUUAUAAGCAAUUUGAUACACAAUAUAUAACAAAACUACUUGUGUAAACAAUAAGUAUUUUAAUAUACUAUGAAGUAUAAUAAUAUGCAAACUAUUAAAAUAUAUAAAAUGACAUUUUGAUAUAGAAACCAUUUAAUCUGCAAGUGAUUGAAAUACUCAUUUUUUUUUCCUGCCUCUAGUAACAUGGUCAAAUCUACAAAUCAUUUUUUUCUGCUCAAAAUAUUGAAGAGGAGAAUUCCAAAUGUUUCAUUUAGAAUAUAAAAAUUACUGAUAUUUUGAAUUAAAAAUAAGCAUGCUAUUAAAAAAUUUAAGUGAAUAGAAAAGUUGAAAACUAAAAAAUAUUAAAUUGUAUAUAUUUAUUCACAAAAGGAGACCUCAGAUUGUUUCCUAAAAUGUGUUUUCUUUUACUCUAACAGUUUAAAGUACAGGUAUUUGAUCUCUAAGGGGAAAAAUGUCAAUGUUGAAAACUGAAGUGGGAAAAUAGUUUACUGCUGACAGACAUGCAGCAGAAGAAAGCUACAAAUGACAACUUAGCCAUGAUAAGGAAAUAGAAGAAAACAGGUAGUAAGGUAGAAGACAAACCAAAAGGACUAGAAAUGUCCAUGCCAUCUUUUAUAUGGUAGUAUCAUUCUUUAGAAUGAAGAGACUAGCCUGAAGAAAUGAUGGAGAAAGAGUAUACCUUUGACAGGUUUACCAAAGCCGUGUCAAAGAUCAGGGGAUGACAACCCUCCCUUUUGGGUCACUAUUUUAAGUACAGUGUUAUAUAGUAUGAUACUAUGAAGUGAAGCCAUCUGCCAAAUUAUAUACAUUAUGCAAAUACUCCAUUCAAGAAGUUAGGUAGUAUGGUGCACAUUUUAAAAAUAGUUCUUUUGAAAGUGCUUACAAUUAAAAAGCAUAUGAAAUAUCUGGGUCUUUUUUUUUUUUUUUUUUUGGUCUUCUUUUUUUACUAGGGCUGAACCCAUGGCAUAUGGAGGUUCCCAGGCUAGGGGUCUAAUCGGAGCUGUAGCUGCCGGCCUACGCCACAGCCACAGCAAUGCGAGAUCCAAGCCGCAUCUGCGACCUCUGCCACAGCUCACGGCAACGCCGGAUCCUUAACCCACUGAGCAAGGCCAGGGAUGGAACCUGCAUCCUCAUGGUUCCUAGUCGGAUUCGUUAACCACUGAGCCACGACGGGAACUCCAAAAAAACAAAUUAAUUAUCUAAAGUAAAAGAUCAUUAGCUAUCUAGAAAUAAAAUGAUAAACCAGAGGAUAUUUACAACUGAUGCUUUGCUUUAUCCUAACACCGUUGUUCCAGUUUUCAAGUGGAAAUUUUACAAAGAAUUUUGCAUAAACCUAAUUUUAGGCAGAAUGGAAGGAAAUUUGGAGUUAAUUCCUGCUCAUGCCAGUCCUUGUAAUAGAGGAUUUGACUAACGGCUUAGAUCCUCGAACGUCAGCAAAUUCUAAAUCGCUCCAUGCUUAGCUCCUCUUGCCUAUUUGGUGCCACAUUAACACAUUGGACCUUUUUUAUUUUUUCUUUUAUGGGAAGAAAAAAGCAUCAAGUAUUACAAAAUAUACCUCCUUCCUCUGUCUGUAUUGUUAUACUGUUUAAACUACAGAAACAUCUAUUGCAGCUGAAUAAAAAUCAAUCUUUUGCCUGUUCUCAGCUGUAUUUCCAAAUCUCAUGGUCUGGCUUAUAGGAGGUACUACAAUAAGCGUUUGUUGAAUUGUCUGUCUCGUCUAGGUGUCCUCCUAGUCACUGUAACCGUCCUUAUCCUAAAUUACCAUCAGUGUUUUGUGAGUUUCAGUCUCAACUGUUUGGCCACUGUCUCUCCAUUACUUAAGCAGGUUUUACCGGUUGUCCUUAGGAAUGUGGUAUGGCUAGUGUUCUAUUGAACUUUAAUUACUUAUCUCACAGUAGAAAAUUUGGAUGAGUUUUAUCAAAACUAUCUCACUAUCAUCACCAUAAUGUCAGUACUUUCUAAAUACUCACUCAAUACAAUAUUAGCAUUCUAAGACCUUUAUCUUAUUUUCACAGGCAUAAGUAUUCUCAAAAUAAGCAUGUAUUUUACUAAUUAUUCAGUUUAUCUUAGAACAAUCAAAAAUAAUUUUCUAAGUAAAAGAGUGAGUAAAAUUUGGUACUUUUAACAUACAAAAGCAAUUGCAUUACAUAAUAAAGAAUGUUCUAAAGCAUAAAAUAAUAGAUAGAAUGUGAUAAGACUACAGAAAAUCUAAACUAAACAAUGCAGGCAGGGUCAGGUUCAAGUUCAUAUGACGGGCAGCACUGUGCUCAGAAGGGCUCUUCUGUCUCCAUAUUAAAAUUCCCAUUGAUUUUGAAUAUUUUAAUUUUGCUGUGGGCCCUGCAAAUUAUGUAGCAGGCUCUGAAUAUGGAAGAAAACAGUGUGCUCCUUUCCUAUAGAUCAGUAAACAAAAUCUAAAUCAUAUAUACACCUACCACAUGUGCCAUAGUGUGUAUCCAAUUUUUAUCACAAUUCUCAUUUCAGAGAUCUGAAUUUUUACUUGAACUUGGAAGACAGAGAUGCUCUAA
rnacentral:lncRNA from 1 species